rnacentral:rRNA from 1 species
AAUCUGCCCUUUGGUUCGGGAUAACAGUUGGAAACGACUGCUAAUACCGGAUGAUAUCGCGAGAUCAAAGAUUUAUCGCCAGAGGAUGAGCCCGCGUAGGAUUAGGUAGUUGGUGGGGUAAAGGCCUACCAAGCCGACGAUCCUUAGCUGGUCUGAGAGGAUGAUCAGCCACACUGGGACUGAGACACGGCCCAGACUCCUACGGGAGGCAGCAGUGGGGAAUAUUGGACAAUGGGCGCAAGCCUGAUCCAGCAAUGCCGCGUGAGUGAUGAAGGCCUUAGGGUUGUAAAGCUCUUUUACCCGGGAUGAUAAUGACAGUACCGGGAGAAUAAGCCCCGGCUAACUCCGUGCCAGCAGCCGCGGUAAUACGGAGGGGGCUAGCGUUGUUCGGAAUUACUGGGCGUAAAGCGCACGUAGGCGGCUUUGUAAGU